AUUGAACGCUGGCGGCAGGCUUAACACAUGCAAGUCGAGCGGGGAAGGGUAGCUUGCUACCUGACCUAGCGGCGGACGGGUGAGUAAUGCUUAGGAAUCUGCCUAUUAGUGGGGGACAACAUUCCGAAAGGAAUGCUAAUACCGCAUACGCCCUACUGGGGAAAGCAGGGGAUCUUCGGACCUUGCGCUAAUAGAUGAGCCUAAGUCAGAUUAGCUAGUUGGUGGGGUAAAGGCCUACCAAGGCGACGAUCUGUAGCGGGUCUGAGAGGAUGAUCCGCCACACUGGGACUGGGACUCGGCCCAGACUCCUACGGGGGGCAGCCGUGGGGAAUAUUGGACAAUGGGCGAAGGCCUGAUCCAGCCAUGCCGCGUGUGUGAAGAAGGCCUUUUGGUUGUAAAGCACUUUAAGCGAGGAGGAGGCUACUUGGAUUAAUACUCCAGGAUAGUGGACGUUACUCGCAGAAUAAGCACCGGCUAACUCUGUGCCAGCCGCCGCCGUAAGAC
rnacentral:rRNA from 1 species